AGAAUCACUGAACACCCACUUUUGUAACAUGGUCUCAGGAUGUCAGCCUGGUUUACAAUACUUGUUACAUACAUUGUGUCUCAGCUCCCAGAGAACUUUCUUUUGGACUGUGGAUCCAGUGAGGUGGACAGUGCCUAGAAAUGCCCUUUUACUUCUUGGCAUGUUUUUUCCCCCAGUGUGUUUCUUCAUACAUCCUGUAGUGGACGAUGACAACGUGUGAAUACAUGCCAAAUAGUAACAAGCAGGAUCUUGCCUAACCCCUUCUAGGCACAAAGAGGUCUCUGGGAAGAGUCUGUGCUAAUGGUAAAAACAUAUAGAGGGUCAAGAUGAAGCAGUGAUCUAUUGGCUGGAAAUCGGAUGACAUGUGACGAUGUAAGCAGGUAUUUUAAUAGUAAAGGCAGAAAUCUGUUGGCAUGUUGAUGAAAGAACUGCUAAAAUUAUAGAACUUAUCAGUUAACCUAAGUUUCACACUACAAAACUAUUUUCAUGCCAAGUUCAAGGUAUUUUUGGCUCACCAAUUGGUGUCUUUGACUUUUUAAACAUCACUGUGCAUUGCACUGAAAUGCUAAAAACACAAACCAAGAAAAGAUACAGCAGAGAGGAGUCAGUGUUAAAAACAUGACAUUGCCACUUGGCCAACUGUGGAACUCUUGACCCUUUCAACACAACUCUCCAUGGAUUAAAAAGGUUAGAUGGCCUCCAUCUGUUGGGACCUCAGGGGAUGUGGUACAACAUUAAAACUCCAGCCAGCCAGAGGUGCACGAAAUCUGCCACUGUACUUUCCAGGACUCUUCCAUUCUAGUCCUUGGCUAGAAAUUCUCACAAAGUUCACCAAUUAUGAUGUGGACCUAUGACCUAUAAGUUUUCUCAAUCUACUCGGACAGUACAGUAAACUGCUUUUGGAUACAAGAGACGUCUGUGCUUAGAGCAGCUGGUAUUGGACUAGGGAAAAUAAAGAUAGAGAUCUCCUGAAGCUUUAACUUAGCUGGUCAAUUUAUAACUAACAUAAUAUAUUUAUUGAUGAAGCUCACAAUUCUGCAGUUGUACAGAUUAAAAAGCUUUCUUGAAAGAGCAAAUAUGCGGAUGUAAAUUAUAUUUAUUACAAUGUAUAAUAUGUCACAAUAGUGUAUUUUAUGUAAUGUGAUGCAUCGAUAAAAUGAGUUAUUGUAUAUUAUACUUCUCAAAUACCAGUAUCUUGAAAUGUUUAAGAUUUUUUUUUGAUCUAAAAUAUGAAUGUUUUGUGACACAAGUGGUUAAUUUUUUCUAGAAGUGCUUCUGCAUGUUUACCUUUUUACUUAGGGUUCUCCAUACAGACACACUGUGGUGUCAAACUAUAAGCUCAAUAGUAAAUACAAAAUAUCUUUGCCAGACUAGGUCUGUAUUGUCUAUAUUUUAUAUGACAUAGAAAAAUUUAUAUUGUCUUUUCAAGACCUUUAGAAUCGUGCCCCCCAAAAUGGUUGAUAUUUCCAAUUCCAAUGUGAAAAGUUGUCCUAAAUUCAAAGUAGAUCUCUUACAUUUUGGAAGUGUGGAGGAAUGGGCAUUAUAGAUAGAUGAGAAUUUAAGGAAGAACUAGGGGAGUGGAGAGAGAGAGAAAGAGGCAGCUGGUGCAAUCCCUUACUUGUCCUCGGUUCUGCCUACAUUUUCGUGUUGUGUUUCUUAAGGUGAGAGUAUAAUCUUGAGUUCUUCGAGAGGGAAUUUCUAAGUAACACGCUACCAGCAAGUUCAACACUGCUAUUUUAAUGUUUUUGUUGUUGAGUUGGUAACUUUAAGUGUUAGAGUGAUAACUGUAAAUGAUUUGGCUGCUGAACUCUGUUACAAUUUUUUUGUGUUGUACAUUGUAUCAUACACAUCAUUACAAAUUAAUAUGAAGGGGAAUAUAUGUUACAUAUCAAAAUUUGUGACUGAAUUCUAGUAUGUUUAGUGUUUUUGCAAAAACGUUUAUUUUUAUAUUAUCUGUGAUUUUUAAUAUAGUUGAACUAGAUUUCUUUGUGAUUAACAGUUUCAUUGAAUGAGCAGUAUGCAAACAGUGUUACUUGACAUUUUGAGCCUUCUCAGGUUUAUCUAAAUCAAUGGUAGCUUAACAAAUUCCAGACUUAUUGUACGUAAUGGUGUUUUUAAUAAAAGGAAUGUAUAUUUCCUCUAAGUUUGCAUGCAGGAGUGUACAAUAUUGUGUGUGUCUAAGGCAUGUGGCCAACUUACUAUCUGCUAUUUAUAACAGGAGAGCUUUGAUAAGAUCUUGAUCAUCAGAAUUGUACCUACCAUAGACAAUUAAAACUGAAAAAGUCUCAAUAAAAUUAUGACAUGUGAUCUGAUGGUUUCUAUGUUGUUAUAGUGUUAAGACUCAUAAGUUUCUCCAAGUUUUGACACCUACUGUUCUGGCUGUCAUAGUAUGUAUUUCUUAAGGUGUGUCCUAGACUGUAAAAAGGGAAGUGUUAUAAAUUAUCUUGCACCAGAAUUCUUUAAGAUUAUCAUUGAGGAGAAAAAUACAGAAUCAUUAUGUAUUUUCAUACCAUUAAAUGUUAGCUGUAAUCUUUUCUCCUCUAAUUUUUAUCCAUAGAGGUAAUCAUACUAAUAAUAAUCUUUUGUGGUUUCUGUUUAUCCAUUAGCCUACAUUGCCUGCUUCUUUCAAGUUUAUUAAAAAGUAAAUAUCUGAUCCCGUGUAGUGAAAAAGCGUAUAAUGGAAUGGAAGCAUACUUAGAAGCAUUACCUUUCUUUUCUUUAGUGGAGAAGGUAGGUGCAUAAUGGUCCUGUGUUGGGUUUUCUGGUUGUCUGCUGAGACAGGUGCCCUGUCACAGAAACCUGUGGGUAGAAAAGUCUAAAUCACUUGCAGCCCUUAUGAUGCUUUCACUCAGUUUUAAACUCCUUAAUUAGCUAAACUAUCCAAACUUCAUAGGAAUCUUCCUCUAUUUAAUAACAGCAUGGUAGAGUUUUGUGGGUGUAUAUGUGUGUAUGCUUAUUUAGUGCAUACACAGAAAUAAUACAGAUAGUCAUUGUUCUGAUUUAAGAAUGUACUGUAAAACUUGGAGAAUGUUUUGAUUUUCAAAAUCACUUUGGGAUUAGAAUCAGAGAACUUUCUCUGCAAGUAAAUAUACUGCUUUUAAAUUCUCUUAUUUUAAUGAACUGGAAAGUUUAUACUCUUUUCAGAAUGUUUAGAAUUUUGCCCCCAGAUAUGGUCAGAGUCCAGUUCCAUAUGUAAAAAGUUUGCCCUGAAUUCAAAGUAGAUCUGUUAUGGCUUAGAAGUCUGAUGGAAUGGAGCAUUAAAGACACAACAGAUGUCACUAGAAAUCCAUGUUAAUACUGUGCUUACUUGCUUGAACCCUGCAAGGUUAUACUGCUUUGGGGUGGACCCUGGGGACUGACGUCUCCAACCAGCAUUGUUGCCGGGACCGAUCUGUGGAUGGAGCCGGGCCCCUGGGCUGAGCAGCUGACAGUACUGCAGCCCCUUAAAAACAGACCCAGAUAAGGAGGUAGGGUGAUAGGAGACAUGCGGGGGCACUCAGUCCUGCCCAUGGGGGAGAAAUGCACUGCUUUUCCUGAUUACCUAAUGAAGAAAAAUAACCAGCAUCAAGGUGGGAAAUCCUUGAUAGAUUGAAACCGAGGCCCUGGAAUGAUCUGAUUUAAUCCUCUCACCUCGGUUUGCUGGUGUGCGCAAAGUUUUCCAUUCAAAAAUGGAGCUAGCAAAGAACUCAGGGUUCUCUCUCCUACUAAAACAUUCCUUCCACAUUGUGGGACUCUUCAAACUGUAGAUCUUGACCCAUUAGUGGGUCACGAUGAGCAAACAAAAUAGAUCAGACUCCUUAACUCAGUAAGGCUUUAUGAUUUUCAUUUCAGAGAUACACAGGCACACGCUUAUACUCAUGCACAUAACACAUUACUCACAUGUCUACUGUGACCCAGGACACAAGUCUAUUUGAUUUCUUUGGAAUCAUUUGAUUUCUCUGAGGACCUGGCCAAAAAACGAUAAACUACACUACUCAGUACAAGGUGGGGCGGGAUUACAGCAAUAGGGAAUGAGAAAUGUUUUUCAAAACAACUUUUAAAUAAAGAGGUACUCAUUUUUAAUCUUGUUAUAUGCAUCCUCUUUUUUAAUGUUUCUCGAGAUUACAUUUGGAAUUCCCAAAGAAACGGUAUUUAGCGUACAUCUAAGGAGAGCUAUUUGCAGUUAUAGAGACUAUAAUUGAAACUUAGAUUUAUGUAAAUUCUGAAGCUUAGCUCUUCAUACUAUCCCUGCUGCUGUGAAUAGUUACUAGAAAAACAGCAGAUGUCCACUGUGUUUAGAGCAUCAGCUUUGCAGUCAAGUGCCCUAGGUCCGAACCAACUUCUACCACUUACCAGUUGUGUACUCUGGGCAGUUGCUUGCCCCCUCUGGACUGUGCGUUCCUCAACUAUAAAUUGAGCGUAAUUGCAGUCCAGAGACAUUGGGAUAAUUAAAUGAAAUAGAAAAUGCAAAGCACUUCCCACAUAAUAUAUACUCAAAAAAAUGGCAGGCUUUCUUUUUGAGGCUGCUAAGGACUUCACCGCUCCCUGUGGUGUUUUGUUGCUGUUUGUUUCUAUUGUUAUUUCUUUUGUCUUCUCUCAUGCCAGAAGGCUUUGUGGAUCUUCUAGAAAUUCUAGUUUUGAAAUGGAGUGCAUACACUAUUUUCUUUUGGACUCUCCAUUGAAUAGCUGAGGUCAGAUAAUAAGUAUUCAACUUUUUGAUGCUUUGCACUGUGAUACGCACUGUGUGGACAAAGAGAUGUAAAGCAAAUGUGUGCAGCUAAAAAUAUAUCAACAAGAAGAGUCUGCUGACCUCCUUGGCUGGGCCUCACCUCUCAGGUUCACGGUCUAUUUUCAGUUGCCACAGUCCAAAGUCUGGUCUUCAGUUUUGCAGAUAGAGAAACUUGAUCUCAACAGUUCACCUGGAGUUCACCAUCUCUGGGACACUGACUCACACCAAGCAAACUGUGACAAGAGAAUCAUUUACCAACGAGAUGCCAGUUUAUGAAUAUACAACGGCUGUAUCCAGUCACAAUAACAGACAUCUGCCUUUGUUUUCAAUCUAAUUAUGGAUCAGAAAGUUGCCUACGGAGCUUAGAAUAAGAACAAAGAGAG
rnacentral:lncRNA from 1 species